CCUACGGGUGGCAGCAGUGAGGAAUAUUGGUCAAUGGACGAGAGUCUGAACCAGCCAAGUAGCGUGAAGGAUGACUGCCCUAUGGGUUGUAAACUUCUUUUAUAUGGGAAUAAAAUGUUUCACGUGUGGCUUUUUGUAUGUACUUUAUGAAUAAGGAUCGGCUAACUCCGUGCCAGCAGCCGCGGUAAUACGGAGGAUCCGAGCGUUAUCCGGAUUUCUUGGGUUUAAAGGGAGCGUAGAUGGGUUGUUAAGUCAGUUGUGAAAGUUUGCGGCUCAACCGUAAAAUUGCAGUUGAUACUGGCAGUCUUGAGUACAGUAGAGGUAGGCGGAAUUCGUGGUGUAGCGGUGAAAUGCUUAGAUAUCACGAAGAACUCCGAUUGCGAAGGCAGCUCACUGGACUGCAACUGACACUGAGGCUCGAAAGUGUGGGUAUCAAACAGGAUUAGAUACCCCGGUAGUC
rnacentral:rRNA from 1 species